rnacentral:rRNA from 1 species
UACGUAGGAUGCAAGCGUUGUCCGGAAUUAUUGGGCGUAAAGAGCGUGUAGGCGGCCAGGUAGGUCUGCUGUGAAAACUCGAGGCUCAACCUCGAGAUGUCGGCGGAAACCAUCUGGCUAGAGUCCGGAAGAGGAGAGUGGGAAUUCCUGGUGUAGCGGUGAAAUGCGCAGAUAUCAGGAAGAACACCCGUGGCGAAGGCGGCUCUCUGGGACGGUACUGACGCUGAGACGCGAAAGCGUGGGGAGCGAACAGG